rnacentral:rRNA from 1 species
CGUAGGUGGCAAGCGUUGUCCGGAAUUAUUGGGCGUAAAGCGCGCGCAGGCGGGAUAUCAAGUCCAUCUUAAAAGUGCGGGGCUCAACCCCGUGAGGGGAUGGAAACUGGUAUUCUUGAGUAUCGGAGAGGAAAGUGGAAUUCCCAGUGUAGCGGUGAAAUGCGUAGAUAUUGGGAGGAACACCAGUGGCGAAGGCGACUUUCUGGACGAUGUCUGACGCUGAGGCGCGAAAGCCAGGGAAGUGAACGGGAUUAGAUACCCCGGUAAUCCUGGCUGUAAACGAUGGGUACUAGGUGUAGAGGGUAUCGACCCCUUCUGUGCCGGAGUUAACGCAAUAAGUACCCCGCCUGGGGAAUACGGCCGCAAGGUUG